ACACAUGCAAGUCGAGCGGUAGCACAGAGAGCUUGCUCUCGGGUGACGAGCGGCGGACGGGUGAGUAAUGUCUGGGAAACUGCCUGAUGGAGGGGGAUAACUACUGGAAACGGUAGCUAAUACCGCAUAAUGUCGCAAGACCAAAGUGGGGGACCUUCGGGCCUCAUGCCAUCAGAUGUGCCCAGAUGGGAUUAGCUAGUAGGUGGGGUAACGGCUCACCUAGGCGACGAUCCCUAGCUGGUCUGAGAGGAUGACCAGCCACACUGGAACUGAGACACGGUCCAGACUCCUACGGGAGGCAGCAGUGGGGAAUAUUGCACAAUGGGCGCAAGCCUGAUGCAGCCAUGCCGCGUGUGUGAAGAAGGCCUUCGGGUUGUAAAGCACUUUCAGCGGGGAGGAAGGCGUUAAGGUUAAUAACCUUGUCGAUUGACGUUACCCGCAGAAGAAGCACCGGCUAACUCCGUGCCAGCAGCCGCGGUAAUACGGAGGGUGCAAGCGUUAAUCGGAAUUACUGGGCGUAAAGCGCACGCAGGCGGUCUGUCAAGUCGGAUGUGAAAUCCCCGGGCUCAACCUGGGAACUGCAUUCGAAACUGGCAGGCUAGAGUCUUGUAGAGGGGGGUAGAAUUCCAGGUGUAGCGGUGAAAUGCGUAGAGAUCUGGAGGAAUACCGGUGGCGAAGGCGGCCCCCUGGACAAAGACUGACGCUCAGGUGCGAAAGCGUGGGGAGCAAACAGGAUUAGAUACCCUGGUAGUCCACGCCGUAAACGAUGUCGAUUUGGAGGUUGUGCCCUUGAGGCGUGGCUUCCGGAGCUAACGCGUUAAAUCGACCGCCUGGGGAGUACGGCCGCAAGGUUAAAACUCAAAUGAAUUGACGGGGGCCCGCACAAGCGGUGGAGCAUGUGGUUUAAUUCGAUGCAACGCGAAGAACCUUACCUGGUCUUGACAUCCACAGAACUUUCCAGAGAUGGAUUGGUGCCUUCGGGAACUGUGAGACAGGUGCUGCAUGGCUGUCGUCAGCUCGUGUUGUGAAAUGUUGGGUUAAGUCCCGCAACGAGCGCAACCCUUAUCCUUUGUUGCCAGCGGUUAGGCCGGGAACUCAAAGGAGACUGCCAGUGAUAAACUGGAGGAAGGUGGGGAUGACGUCAAGUCAUCAUGGCCCUUACGACCAGGGCUACACACGUGCUACAAUGGCAUAUACAAAGAGAAGCGACCUCGCGAGAGCAAGCGGACCUCAUAAAGUAUGUCGUAGUCCGGAUUGGAGUCUGCAACUCGACUCCAUGAAGUCGGAAUCGCUAGUAAUCGUAGAUCAGAAUGCUACGGUGAAUACGUUCCCGGGCCUUGUACACACCGCCCGUCACACCAUGGGAGUGGGUUGCAAAAGAAGUAGGUAGCUUAACCUUCGGGAGGGCGCUACCACUUUUGG
rnacentral:rRNA from 1 species